UUCUUCUUAGCUCAGUCGGGUGAGCAUGAGACUCUUAAUUUCAGGGUCAUGGGUUUGAGCCCCAUGUCAGGUG